ensembl:lncRNA
CUGGUGUCGUUUGCUGAGGAGGAGGUUGCCAUGUAGCUCACUGUCUGUAAAGAGCCCAGUGCAGGGUCUGGGCAUAGCAGGUGCUUAGCCAGUGGGAGCCAUUGUGAUGGUGGUGCAAGAAGCCAGGAGGAGAGAGGGCCUGGAAGCCGCAGGAGUCAGAGCAGAGUGAGGGUGACACCCUGGAUCAGCCCCUCUGGGGACUGGCGUGUGGCCUGCGACAUCCAGCCGUGGUAGUAGAAGGCUGGCCUUGCCUCUGUGGUCUGGGGCCUCUCAGGACAGGCCCUGCAGGAUUUGGCAAGGAUGACUGUUCUUGUGCCCUCCUGACCUGUCCAAAUAGAUGAGUGUGUGGUCCUGCCCUCAAGACUAUUCUGGGUCCCUGCCAGCUCUGGUACUGGGUGGACAGGUGGGCUUGAGGCUGGCACGCAGAGGGGAGAGAAGUCAGGGACAAUCUGGGGGCCUGGUGUCUGGCCAGGACCUGCCCUAAGUCCUGUGCCAGGCUGACGUCACUGAGUGUGAGGCCCGUCACUGGGCGCAGGGGUGAUGAGGCGGAAGGAAGGUCUUGGAGGCCAGGCAGCCAUUGUUGGCUGGCUUACCUGGAUUAGGCUUUUCAUGUGGAGGGAAGAAAGAGAUCUGCUUUGUCGCAGCCGAGGCAUCAGGCUGGAAACACGGAGACCUGGCCCAAGGAAAGGCCCGUCGCGGAGCACAGAGAGAAGAGAGGCCUGGUGCAGGACCCACUCCCUCUGCCGUCGCUACCCGUCCAUCAGUGAUGAUGCUCGUAGAGAUCGCAGGCUUGCUUCACCACUGACCCCAGCAUUCCAUCCAGCAAACAGACGUCCACCCUGGCAGUCAUAGGUCCUGCCUCCCACAUCUUUGUUUCUCCUCCUGGCCAUGGGGUAGGACUGGGUUUCACUCUUCCCUGAUGUUCAGUGUGGCCAUGUAAUGUAAUUACAUGGCCCAGCAUGUAAUUCGUCUUACUUUCUCUUUCCCUCUGGCACAGAAAUCCAGAGAAUAACUAAUCUGUCUGCUCGGGCCCCAGAGUGAAGACGGCAGGGCAGAAACCCCAGCUGACCUACAGUGGGUGUGUUGUGUAGGCUUGAGGCUGUUUGUUACUGCAGCCUAGCCCAUCCUGAUGGUCUAAGUGGGGGGAAAUUCCCCAUGCCUAGGCUAAGAAUCAAGACCUAAGAGCUUAGAAAGGUAGCAAAUGGCUCUUCACAGCACCUCUUUGCUCACUAAGAACCACUCCCACUUUAUCACGCAACCCUGUUUAUCUUCAUAUGCUGUGCCUAGCGCUCAGUCGUGUCCGACUCUUUGUGACCCCGUGGACUCCUCUGUCCAUGGAAUUCUCCAGGCAAGAAUACUGGAGUGGGUUGCCCUGCCCUUCUGCAGGGGAUCUUCCCGACCCAGAGAUCGAACCUGAGUCACCCGCAUUGCAGGCGGAUUCUUUACUGUCUGAGCCACCAGGGAGUUUUAUAUCUGUUUACAGGUUUAUUAUGUCUCCCUCUAGAAAGUCAGCUUCGUGAAGGCCAGGACCCCAACCCUCAGGUUUAUAUCUGUGUAGCCAGGGUAUACAGCAGAGCUGGUCCAGGAUGGCAGGCCCUCAUGGACGCGAUGAGUCCCUGGAUUGGGAGGUCCGAGGGGUGCGGUGACCUAAGGUGGAGACUUGUACGUAUACUUGUUUGGUGGUGACAGCGGAGUAGGAGCUUGAUGAGUUACUCUCUGAGUGAAUGAGCUCUGGUGGAGAGGGGAUGGGGUGGUGUCCUUUCAUAAUGUGGGAGAAGGUGGCGAGUUCUCCAGGAGGGGAGGCUGUGGUGCCCCAUCUUCUCUGUGCUCCCGGCCAGCUCCACGCAAGAAGCGGAGGAGGAGCUACAGUUUCUGGAGAAAGGAAGAGCGAUUGGGAUGGUGACUCAGGGCUGCCACCCAUCACAGUUCGGUUGGUACCGGUCCAGGGAGCAGAGGGAGGAGUGUGAGUGGCUGGACAGGUCUCCCAGGCUGCAGAGUUGAGCCCUGUGGUGGGUCCAGAAGGUGUGAGAAACUGCAUGUGUACGGGUGUGAGAGAGAGCAUGUGAGUGAAUGAAUGCUGGGCACCACCAGGGCCAGCUUUGUGAGCUCUCUACCCCAGAGGACUCUGUGCUGCCCAGGAGGCUGGGAGAAGCCAGGAGCCCUGGAGAGAGGGCCAGGAGCUUGGAGCAGGUGACUCGGUUGGGGGUGCUAGUAGGGAAGUGGCUCCCAGGCCUGUCCUAGUCUGGCCUCUGACCUUUGUGCAUCUCAGAACCCAGCAGGCCUGGGCCUUGCUGGGCACCUGCUCUUCUCUGGGAUGUUCUUUCUACGUGGUGACUGGAGGUCCACUCCCAGCAUGGUAUCCUCU